rnacentral:rRNA from 1 species
AACGAACGCUGGCGGCGUGCUUAACACAUGCAAGUCGAACGAGAAAGUCCCUUCGGGGGCGAGUACAGUGGCGAACGGGUGAGUAACACGUGGGUAAUCUACCUUCGAGAGUGGGAUAACCUGCCGAAAGGCGGGCUAAUACCGCAUAACACGGCCGGUUCACAUGGGCUGGCCGUCAAAAGAUGGCCUCUGCUUGCAAGCUAUCGCUCGGAGAUGAGCCCGCGUCCCAUUAGCUAGUUGGCGGGAUAAUAGCCCACCAAGGCGACGAUGGGUAGCCGACCUGAGAGGGUGAUCGGCCACACUGGGACUGAGACACGGCCCAGACUCCUACGGGUGGCAG